rnacentral:rRNA from 1 species
AUGAACGCUAGCGGCAGGCCUAACCCAUGCCAGUCGAGGGAGAAGCCCUUUCGGGGGCAGAAACCGGCGCACGGGUGCGUAACGCGUAUGCAACCUACCUUUCACAGGGGGAUAGCCCGAAGAAAUUUGGAUUAAUACCCCAUAAUAUUAUUGGAUGGCAUCAUUUGAUAAUUAAAACUGCGGUGGUGAAAGAUGGGCAUGCGUCCUAUUAGCUAGUUGGAGUGGUAACGGCACCCCAAGGCUACGAUAGGUAGGGGUCCUGAGAGGGAGAUCCCCCACACUGGUACUGAGACAGGGACCAGACUCCUACGGGAGGCAGCAGUGAGGAAUAUUGGUCAAUGGUCGGAAGACUGAACCAGCCAUGCCGCGUGCAGGAAGAAUGCCUUAUGGGUUGUAAACUGCUUUUAUAUGGGAAGAAUAAGGCGUACGUGUACGUUGAUGACGGUACCAUAUGAAUAAGCAUCGGCUAACUCCGUG